UACGUAGGGUGCAAGCGUUGUCCGGAAUUAUUGGGCGUAAAGAGCUCGUAGGCGGUCUGUCGCGUCGGCUGUGAAAACUCGGAGCUCAACUCCGGGCCUGCAGUCGAUACGGGCAGACUGGAGUUCGGCAGGGGAGACUGGAAUUCCUGGUGUAGCGGUGAAAUGCGCAGAUAUCAGGAGGAACACCGGUGGCGAAGGCGGGUCUCUGGGCCGUAACUGACGCUGAGGAGCGAAAGCGUGGGGAGCGAACAGG
rnacentral:rRNA from 1 species